CUCAUCACAGCAGAAUUCUGAUGAGGCUGGGCUCUUUCGCAGCUGGCAUUUGAUGAGAAAAGGGAAUUGAAAUGUAGGUGAUUGAUUUGGACCUGGAGAAGCUGAUUGGAUGUCACCCUGUUCUUCCCGACAAUGGGGACCGGUCUGUGCAAAGGGGACUUCCUGUGACCCCUGCGGGUCCACCGGAAGUUCUGAUUUCUCCCCGUGGAAUAGGGGCGCGAAGGCUGCCCUGUCACACACGGCCCAAGAGAUUGAUUACCUGGGCUCUGGCAGCCUCUCUGGGACCCUGAAUCAGUAUUCACGGCCUGUUAGUGGCUUGCAAGGCAGAGCAGACAGAUGGACGUGCUCGGGAAGCCUAUUGAUCAGCCCUUGGUGUGACCUGCCCAGACCUGGUUCUG
rnacentral:lncRNA from 1 species